rnacentral:rRNA from 1 species
GGACUACAAGGGUUUCUAAUCCUUAUUGCUACCCAAGCCUUCGUCCCUCAACGUCAGUUUUUACAUAGAAGAACGCUUUCGCCGUUAUCAGUCCUCCUGGUAUAAAUGUAUUUUAUCACUACUCCAGGAAUUCUAUCUUCUCUCAUGAAACUCUAGCAAAUAAUACUCGUUAAAGAUUAAUUUUGCCGUCUAGGUACCCUUUAAACCUGUUAAAGAUGACUAACACUAGUCUUCUACGUAUUACCGCGGCGGCUGGCAC